CUGUGUAUUGACUUCUCUUAUAUGAUUGGCAUUGAGCAUUGAGCAUUGAGGGUGAAUCUUCUGUUUUGACUUUCCUCUUUAGCAAAAAGAAAAGGGUGAAUCUUCUGCUACAUGUAUUGAAUAUUCCAGGCUGCCAUUUGUGCAGUUACGACGAAUUGCAUUGUGAAGUGACUCGGUGGCACCUUCAUGCCGUCACUAAUAAGGGCCAUUGGACAAGGUGGUGCCAAGGG
rnacentral:lncRNA from 1 species